rnacentral:lncRNA from 1 species
AUGGAUCCCACAGCCCCUCCUUCCCACCUCUCCCUCCUCUGUCGUGUCUCACCGCCUCCCUCAGCCCGCUCUGCCUUAGUCAGCUCUGCCUCCUUUUGCUCCAAAAGCCUCAAUGUUCUGCACUUGAAUUUAAAAAGUUACUCUCAGAGCUCAGCAGGUUGUGCCAGGUGUGCAGCCCUGCCAGCAAUAGGUGCUUCCACAUCUCCUGUUCCAGCAAUCCCUGUUCCCUUAUCUCCCAUCCCAGCAAUCCCUGUUCUGUUCCCUCAUCUCCCAUUCCAUCAAUCCCUGUUCUGUUCCAGCAAUCCCUGUUCUGUUCCUUCAUCUCCUGUUCCAGCAAUCCCUGUUCUGUUCCUUCAUCUCCCGUUCCAGCAAUCCCUGUUCUGUUCCCUCAUCUCCCGUUCCAGCAAUCCCUGUUCUGUUCCCUCUCCUGCCUCUCCUGCAGUGGUGUUCCCCCUCCCCUGCCUCUCCUGCAGUGGUGUUCCCUCUCUCCUGCAGUGGUGUUCCCUCUCUCCUGCCUCUCCAGCAGUGGUGUUCCCCCUCCCCUGCCUCUCCUGCAGAACUGCUCCCUCAUCUCCCGUUUGCAGCCACCCCUGCCCCCCCCAGCCCCAGGAGCCCAGCUGAGC